GGGCUUCCGCGUAGUCCGGGCGCCCUGGCCUCUGCACCGUCCUAGAAACCUGUCUUACGUCGAGGAACCCGGGGGACAGAGGCGCGCCAGUGCACGCCGGGGCCAGGGACGAACGGCUCGCCAAUGCAAAGGAGGCCCCUCGGGGAGACGGCAGGCAGCAAAAGGCUUCCUUGGCCGGGGGUCUGGGCGUUUGGGGAGGGGAGGUGCUCAGAGAUAGGGCCGAGGAUGGAGCUCCCAGGUGGGUUGGAGGCGGGGGUGGCUGGGCUCGAGGACGCUGUUGGAGUCCGGGGUCUGGAAGAGGCGAUCCCCGGGAAAGCCAGCUUCAGAGCCGGGAAGGGUCGGCAGGGGACCUACUGCAAGAGCCCCCAGGUUGGGGUAGGGAGGGGGCCCAGACCUGGGCCGGGAGGGAUGCUGAAUCCCCCGACCUAGCUCUGGGGCUUUGCAAACCAGCAUCACUGCAGCAUUUUGUGGCUCAAGGAAUGGGGCAGGGCGGCCAGACCAGCUGUGGCUGGUGCGUGCGUGAGGCCCUGAGGGAUGCGGCCAAUGCUAUUUUGCUGUUUUGUACUUACUCAGUUUCAUUUUGGCUCUGUCGCCACUAGGCGAAAGAAAUCGAAGUGCUAACAUACCACGGGGAGCAAUGAUUAUUACUCAAUGUGGCCCCGCCCCAGCAGCGGGAGGUGGCAUCUGUUUGACCUUGGAGACUUGGACGGUAUUUAGGGAGAUUACAUGAAAAAAAGACUCACCCCACAAUGCUUGCAGUCAGCUACAAGCUGCCUUGUCCUUCAUACCUUUUAGCCUUUAUUUCCUGAGUCUAUCUUGUCUGUUUCUAAUGUAGUCUCCUGAUUUAGGGCAAGAGAAUAUUUCUCACUCUUGGUCUGCCCACUACCCACAAUCCUUGUCCGAGGAUUUACUCGGCAAACUUAGCAGGCAAAACCCCUUGUCAACUUAACACUAAAAAAUACCGUCUCUUGGAAGGCAGUCUGCUUUGAUAAACCUAAUGGAAUAAAAAGUGAGUUUGCUAUCUGGCUUUAAAGAACAUAACCCAGCUGGGCAUGGUGGCUCACACCUGUAAUCCCAACACUUUGGGAGACCGAGGCAGGAGGAUCGCUUAAGCCCAGGCGUUCAAGACCAGCCUGGGCAACAUAGUAUAGUAAAACCCAGUCUCUACAAAAAGAAUUUAAAAAUUAGCCAGGCCAGAUAGCCCAGCUACUUGGGACGCUGAAACAGGAUUGCUUUGAGUCCAGCAGGUGGAGGCUGCAGUGAGCUAUGACUGCACCACUGCACUCCAGCCUGGUCAACAGAGCGAGAUCCUGUCUCAAAACAAAACAAAAAAACUGACAACCAAUGAAACCUCAUCUCUAAAAUCUGGCUUCAGGUUAAGUGAGUAAAAAGAGGCUUUCUUGUGGCCAGGCACGGUGGCUUAUGCCUGGUAAUCCCAGCACUUUGGGAGGCCAAGGCGGGCGGAUCACGAGGUCAGGAGUUCAAGACCAGCCUGGCCAACAUAGUGAAACCCUGUUUCUACUAAAAAUACAAAAAAA
rnacentral:lncRNA from 1 species